rnacentral:rRNA from 1 species
UCCCAGACUCCUACGGGAGGCAGCAGUGAGGAAUAUUGGUCAAUGGGCGGGAGCCUGAACCAGCCAAGUCGCGUGAGGGAUGACGGCCCUAUGGGUUGUAAACCUCUUUUGCCGGGGAGCAAAGUGCCGCACGUGUGCGGUUUGGAGAGUACCCGGAGAAAAAGCAUCGGCUAACUCCGUGCCAGCAGCCGCGGUAAUACGUAGGGGGCAAGCGUUAUCCGGAUUUACUGGGUGUAAAGGGAGCGUAGACGGCAGUGCAAGUCUGAAGUGAAAGCCCCGGGCUUAACCCGGGAACUGCUUUGGAAACUGUACGGCUGGAGUGCUGGAGAGGUAAGCGGAAUUCCUAGUGUAGCGGUGAAAUGCGUAGAUAUUAGGAGGAACACCAGUGGCGAAGGCGGCUUACUGGACUGUAACUGACGUUGAGGCUCGAAAGCGUGGGGAGCAAACAGGAUUAGAUACCCGCGUAAGG